CCCUAGUACGGCGAGUGAAGCGGGAACAGCUCAAAUUUGAAAUCUGGCCCUCGGGUCCGAGUUGUAAUUUGUAGAGGAUGCUUUUGGUGCGGUGCCUUCCGAGUUCCCUGGAACGGGACGCCUUAGAGGGUGAGAGCCCCGUACGGUUGGACGCCUAGCCUCUGUAAAGCUCCUUCGACGAGUCGAGUAGUUUGGGAAUGCUGCUCUAAAUGGGAGGUAUAUUUCUUCUAAAGCUAAAUACUGGCCAGAGACCGAUAGCGCACAAGUAGAGUGAUCGAAAGAUGAAAAGCACUUUGAAAAGAGGGUUAAAUAGCACGUGAAAUUGUUGAAAGGGAAGCGUUUAUCACCAGACUUUUUCUAGGGGGAUCAUCCGGUGUUCUCACCGGUGCACUUCCCCUGGUUGAGGCCAGCAUCGGUUUUCGGAGGGGGAUAAAAGCUUCGGGAAUGUGACUCCCUCGGGAGUGUUAUAGCCCGUUGCAUAAUACCCUUCUGGGGACCGAGGUUCGCGCAUCUGCAAGGAUGCUGGCAUAAUGGUGAUCAACGACCCGUCUUGAAACACGGACCAAGGAGUCGAACAUUUAUGCGAGUGUUUGGGUGUCAAACCCUCACGCGUAAUGAAAGUGAACGGAGGUGAGAGCCCUUACGGGUGCAUCAUCGACCGAUCCUGAUGUCUUCGGAUGGAUUUGAGUAAGAGCAUAACUGUUCGGACCCGAAAGAUGGUGAACUAUGCGUGGAUAGGGUGAAGCCAGGAGAAAUCCUGGUGGAGGCUCGCAGCGGUUCUGACGUGCAAAUCGAUCGUCAAAUCUGCGCAUGGGGGCGAAAGACUAAUCGA
rnacentral:rRNA from 1 species